UCCGGUUUGUCACCGGCAGCCUCCUAUGAGUCCCCAACUUAAUGCUGGCAACAUAGGACGGGGGUUGCGCUCGUUGCGGGACUUAACCCAACAUCUCACGACACGAGCUGACGACAGCCAUGCAGCAUCUGUGGAGCACCCUCGAAGGCGAGUGGGUUUCCCCACCUUGCAGCUCCAUGUCAAGUCUGGGUAAGGUUAUGCGCGUUGCGUCGAAUUAAACCACACGCUCCGCUGCUUGUGCGGGCCCCCGUCAAUUCCUUUGAGUUUUGGCCUUGCGGCCGUACUCCCCAGGCGGGGUGCUUAAUGCGUUAGCUUCGGCACGGACGGGGUCGAUGUCCGCCCACACCUAGCACCCAACGUUUACGGCUAGGACUAC
rnacentral:misc_RNA from 1 species